rnacentral:rRNA from 1 species
GACGAACGCUGGCGGCGUGCUUAACACAUGCAAGUCGAACGGAAAGGCCCUGCUUGCAGGGUGCUCGAGUGGCGAACGGGUGAGUAACACGUGGGUGAUCUGCCCCUUAUUUUGGGAUAAGCCUGGGAAACUGGGUCUAAUACUGGGUAGGACCAUGCUGUAGGUGGUGUGGUGGAAAGAUUAGUUUCGGUAAGGGAUGAGCUCGCGGCCUAUCAGCUUGUUGGUGGGGUAAUGGCCUACCAAGGCGUCGACGGGUAGCCGGCCUGAGAGGGUGGACGGCCACAUUGGGACUGAGAUACGGCCCAGACUCCUACGGGAGGCAGCAGUGGGGAAUAUUGCACAAUGGGCGCAAGCCUGAUGCAGCGACGCCGCGUGGGGGAUGACGGCCUUCGGGUUGUAAACUCCUUUCAGCCAUGACGAAGCCCUUGUGGUGACGGUAGUGGUAGAAGAAGCACCGGCUAACUACGUG